rnacentral:piRNA from 1 species
GGAAAAUGCUUGUUUUAAUUGCCU